CCUAGCUGUAUCGCCUCUCUUGUCUGCGUCUCUCAAUCUUGCCGAAUAUCUUCUUCCCCUUUCAUCUUCCAUUGCCACGGGUUAGUGCUAGUGGCCUUUAUUCUGCGUUCUCCUGCAACACCAAUAUCUUCUCCGCCUUCUCACGAUCUGUGGUCCUUUGUGUCCAUUAUCGGCCUUUGCAAUUGAAGAAGACCCUUACUUUUGCUUUGGUGAACUUUCUCUUUUCUAGGUUUGUAACAGGAGCUCCUGUGAUGCUUGUUGGGUGAAGAUAGUCCUGCAUUAUCUCAAGAAACUCAGUCAUCAAAUCAAUAGUCAAUACUCUCCUCAAAUGAUGAUGCUUCAUUUGGUUGUUGGCAAUGUUAAUCUCUCAUGAUUAUCAUACUUCUUGUUGUACUCUCGUUCCCUUUUGGUCCCACCUUUUG